UACGAAGGGUGCUAGCGUUGCUCGGAAUUACUGGGCGUAAAGGGCGCGUAGGCGGUCUGUUUAGUCAGAGGUGAAAGCCCAGGGCUCAACCUUGGAACAGCCUUUGAUACUGGCAGUCUUGAGUACGGGAGAGGUGAGUGGAACUCCGAGUGUAGAGGUGAAAUUCGUAGAUAUUCGGAAGAACACCAGUGGCGAAGGCGACUCACUGGCACGUUACUGACGCUGAGGCGCGAAAGCGUGGGGAGCAAACAGG
rnacentral:rRNA from 1 species